AGGAGAAGAAAAAAUUAGUUCGAGAAUUUGAUGAGAAACAGCGUGAAGCAGAUGAAACGCUGCGGGAAAUGGAGGAAGAACUGAAGUAUGCUCCUCUGCCGUUCCGCAACCAAAUGAUGAGCAAAAUCCGGGCAUACAGAAGAGACCUCUCCAUGUUCCAGAGAGAGCUGAGAAGCACAGAUUUGGGAUUGGGCCCUGGAAGUCAAGGCGAUAUAAAAUACGGAAUCUUCUCCACAGAAAAUGAACAGAGUACUCAUCUGCAGUCACAGAGGGUGCUGCUUCUCCAGGGAACAGACAGCCUGAACCGAGCCAGUCAGAGCAUUGAGCGCUCGCACCGAAUUGCUGCUGAAACAGAUCAGAUUGGCACCGAUAUAAUUGAAGAACUUGGGGAGCAGCGGGAGCAACUGGAGCGCACCAAGAGCAGAUUGGUGAAUACAAGUGAGAACUUGAGCAAGAGUCGCAAGAUUCUACGUUCUAUGUCCAGGAGAGUUACCACUAACAAGUUGUUGCUGUCCAUUAUCAUCAUCCUGGAGCUAGCCAUCCUGGGAGGCGUGGUCUACUACAAGUUCUUCCGCAGCAGAUGAAUUUUCAUGACUGACAUGAGCUUUUCUACUGCUAUGAGCUUUUCUACUGCUGAGGAACUGGCUGGGCUGUCUGUUCCCUUUGACUGUCUGAGGAUUGAACUCUCAUGGGACAGCAGGCUCAGCUGAAACUGUACUGACACUAGAGGGACAGAGAAGGGAGUAAAAAGAAAAUGCAGAGACAGACUUGAACUACUGAAGCCAGGGUGAAAGGCUGGAAAACUGAUUCUCAUGGCCUCUAGGAUAGAGCGAGCACCAAGCUUGAGGAUUUCAUAGACAGCUCAUCAGGACAAAUGGGGCAUUCUGCAUUUUUCAGGUCAAGAGUUGGAGGCUGCUCCCAGACUCUGCCAUCUCUGAAAAUGGCUACAGCCAACACAGCUGUCAAGCAGCAAGAAGGCUUUGUUUCCCUCUUACACCUCUCAAUUACUAAUUCUAGUUACAACAUUUGGAUUUGUUCUUAAAGGCUAUCACACCCAUAGCUAUAAUUACAUUGGGAUUAAAUAUACACAAUAAAAGUGUUACUCCAGGGGCACUGACCUGAAACUUUUCUGCAGUUAUGAAUUCAGAGUGACCACUAGGAAAAAUAAUUCAGGUCUCAGAAAUGAAGCUGUAUCUGUGAAACCCAUUGCCAUACCAUAAACUGAGCAUAGUAUUGGUAAUGUUGUCAGAUACUCUCUAGUAUCAGUGAUUUAACAGAUUUAAUACUGCCAUUUUUAAUUACACCUCUUCCUCUAAAUAAAUAAAACUGAAUGCCCUAACUUCCUUUGGUAGGCUCUGCUUUUACUUUGUUUCAAUAGAAAAGGAGUGCUGAUAGUAAAGCCAGACAGGCAUCAGAAGGUACAGGUAUUUUCAGGGUAAGUUAUUAAUAGCAGUUUCUGAGUUUAGUUUUAGUGGUUCCAGGAGCCCUGACACUAAUGCUUGGUUUGAGGAAUGCCAAUCAAAGGAUUAUGUUAAUAAAUAUUUUCCCUUUAAAGCAUCAAAAUUAUUUUUUUAAGAUUUUAAACCCCCUGAAGUGCCCCCUUGCCUUGAGGCGUACCAAGCAGUGCUCCCGUGGAGCCCCCUGGGCAAACAGGCAGCAGCUGACAUCCUGUGAAGGGACUGUGCAAGCACCACCAGGGGUGGUUCUACAGCAACCUGGCCAAAUGCUUGAUUUUUCUUCCCAGCCAGAUGCACCACUUCUGUGCUUCCUGUUGUCUGCUGGGGGUGGAUAUUUAAUUCAGUAGAGCACUAACCAAGCUCAUUAGCCCUGGGUACACAAGAGUUUCUGAAAACAGGUGAGAGAACACCCCAAACUGAAGGACUUGAAACAGCCCUGGGGGAGUUCUUGGCAGCUGUGCCACCUGAGUUCCCACUGUUCUGUUGCCCCAGGACAGCUCUUUCACAAAACCAUCUAGGUUGGAAAGGACCUUCAAGAUCAUCUCAUCCACCCAUUAACCUAACAUUGUUAGGGUCAUGCAGUGAACAAGGAACUGAUGUGUCUCCAAACCUAACCAAAGACAGUGCUCCUGUCUCAGUGCUCAUGCAACCCCAGCGAGGGUUACAGCAGCUGAAUGGAGAUGCUGGCACAGGGUCAACAACAGCAUGAGCAGGCUGUGCCACCCAGAGAGAGGUGUGUUACACUACUACCUCUGUCUCAUGUCCUCUUGAUGGGGAAUGAAGAGCAAGGAGCCUGGAGGUGCUGGAAGAGCAGUACCAGUUAGAGGUGGGCAAUGAAUCAGGAAGAUGUAAUCGUGCAGGCUGUUUUGCUCUCAUCUCAAAGGAGCUGUUUCUUGUGGUUCUACAAAACAAUCUAGACAGGGAGCCAAGUGCUUGCCAGCCUUCCUGACACUAUGAGGUUGAUGACCAAUAGGCAUCAAAAUUCCACUUUUGUGGAAUUGUGAGUGUCCACCCAUAGAAGCAUGCACACAGAUGUGUCAUGGUGGGGAGGGGUUGCCGAAAAACCCCUUCACAGCAUGAGUGAAAGCAAGGAAGGAGAUAGAGGGCUCGCCGCUAAAUCUCUCCCGUCCUCUCGCACUGCCGGGCUGUGUGCACGCUGACAAGACCCAGACCUCCUGGAGAGCGAAGUGCAACUGGCUAGUCUGCCUGCCGCUUGGAGAUGUAACUCUUAGCAGAGUGUGGGACUGGAGUACCCUUCUUGCUGGUGGCAGGCAGUGUUAGAAUUCAAAAAAAAAAAUCCUUCAGAGCAGUCAGGAAAGGAGAGGAAAUUUUUGGGUCCUGUUCUCAACAUAACUGCUGUAACUGGAUGAGAGGGAGCCACAGGCACCUGUUCACACACAAAAUUUCCUCCAGCCAGGCAGAUCUGUAGCCAGAGGAGCCAUUGGCAAAGGUACAUUGUACUACUGCGAAGCAGCCAGUUACACUGCUGCAGAAGCCUCCUUGUACCAGCAGGACAGAUGUUGAUUUUUCUCCCCUAAACAGGAAUACAGUAUGGCAAGAAAACCCUCUUAAUUUAAAGUACACACCUAUUUGUGUAGCUACAAAUACAGGUUGAGGGGCUUGUGUCAGAUGUUUGACAGGCUUUGUCAGCUACAAUUUAGGUGGGCUUGUGACGAGACCUCCUAACCAGCACCACACCCAACUAACUCACCAUUAUGUGUAGCCUAAGCUUACUCUUCCUUCACUACUGCUGCUGGCAAGGGGCCUGAUCCCCCAACUAACCCCAGAAAGCUCACAGUAUUCUUUUAAGCAGCUCAAAAAAAAAAAAAAACCCAAACCCAAACACCAAACUGCUUUUCUGUGCUGCUCAAGAACUGGAGCCCAGCAGUCCAGAAAUCAACAUGUAUACACAGGAAGUCGAUUAAAUACUUCAGUCUACUGACAGAAGAGGAAAGCAGCAUAUCUUACUCUGCCUUCCUCAGCUAUCAAAGAACUUGACUUUUUUUUUGUUCUUACCAAGAUAGAAACUGUUCACCUUAGGUGAGCUCCAAAAUUUUCUCUCCCUCUUCCUAUCCUUCCUGCAAAAAGUGGGUGCAGUUGCCACAAAGAAUAAGAGUAGCACCCCCUUUAAUUUAUGGGCAAGAAACUAGAAAUACAGUAACCAUUUAUAUUAACCUUCUCAUGUCCUGAGGGUAUUUCAAGAAGCCCCAUUAAUUCUGCAUUGCUUUGAGAAUUCUAGCAUGUUUGUAGAGACCAUACAAGAAUUAUUAGAAGGAGGAAAGCAUGUAAAAGCACUCAAUGACUCUCUAGACUUGUGGAUGGGAUUCAUUCAGAAGAAUUUGCAGGUGAGAAGCAGAAGAGCUUUAGCAGUUGAUAAGCUAACGCAGUGGUAUCUUCAAUAGCCGCAGACAUUAAAUGUGCUUGAUCAAACUUCCAUCAACAUAGCACCCCCAAAAUGUAUCAGAGAGAAAACAAGAAAUCUAAGAGAAAUGACUAGCAGUGCAAAGUGCCAG